GCCUCUUCCACAUAUGCAUUGCUGCAAUAUCUCUGGUGGUCAUGCUGGUUCUCGCCAUCCUGGCCAGACGACAGAAGCUGGGUGACAAUCAGAGGGGACUUACAGGUUUACUGAGCCCAGUAAACUUUUUAGACCACACACAACACAAGGGCCUUGCCGUAGCUGUGUACGGCGUUCUCUUCUGCAAGCUGCUUGCAAUGGUCCUCAGUCACCAUCCACUUCCUUUCACUAAAGACGUCGUGA